AAUAAUUUUUUUUUUGAAUAUUUUAAGAUGGGAAUGAUAUUUCGGUAAUAUUAAUCUAAGGCAUUCUUGCAUUAUUUUUGAAUUUCUUUUGGCAAAAUUUUCAGGUAUCCGUUUUCCUUAUGAGUACCUCAAUGUGCACAUUAGAACUCUUUGUGACCAGAGCUACCAGAUAUGUGCUCUAUUCCAAGAGGUAAAGAUGAAAAAUUU
rnacentral:lncRNA from 1 species